AGUGAACGCUGGCGGUAGGCCUAACACAUGCAAGUCGAACGGCAGCACAGUAAGAGCUUGCUCUUACGGGUGGCGAGUGGCGGACGGGUGAGGAAUACGUCGGAAUCUACUUUUUCGUGGGGGAUAACGUAGGGAAACUUACGCUAAUACCGCAUACGACAUACGGGUGAAAGCAGGGGAUCUUCGGACCUUGCGCGAUUGAAUGAGCCGAUGUCGGAUUAGCUAGUUGGCGGGGUAAAGGCCCACCAAGGCGACGAUCCGUAGCUGGUCUGAGAGGAUGACCAGCCACACUGGAACUGAGACACGGUCCAGACUCCUACGGGAGGCAGCAGUGGGGAAUAUUGGACAAUGGGCGCAAGCCUGAUCCAGCCAUACCGCGUGGGUGAAGAAGGCCUUCGGGUUGUAAAGCCCUUUUGUUGGGAAAGAAAAGCAGCAGGUUAAUACCCCGCUGUUCUGACGGUACCCAAAGAAUAAGCACCGGCUAACUUCGUG
rnacentral:rRNA from 1 species